rnacentral:rRNA from 1 species
CGCGGCCUAUCAGCUUGUUGGUGAGGUGAUGGCUCACCAAGACGAUGACGGGUAGCCGGCCUGAGAGGGCGACCGGCCACACUGGGACUGAGACACGGCCCAGACUCCUACGGGAGGCAGCAGUGGGGAAUAUUGCACAAUGGGCGAAAGCCUGAUGCAGCGACGCCGCGUGGGGGAUGACGGCCUUCGGGUUGUAAACCCCUUUCAGUAGGGAAGAAGCGAGAGUGACGGUACCUGCAGAAGAAGCGCCGACUAACUACGUGCCAGCAGCCGCGGUAAUACGUAGGGCGCAAGCGUUGUCCGGAAUUAUUGGGCGUAAAGAGCUUGUAGGUGGCUUGUCGCGUCUGCCGUGAAAACCCGAGGCUCAACCUCGGGCGUGCGGUGGGUACGGGCAGGCUAGAGUGUGGUAGGGGAGACUGGAACUCCUGGUGUAGCGGUGAAAUGCGCAGAUAUCAGGAAGAACACCGAUGGCAAAGGCAGGUCUCUGGGCCAUUACUGACACUGAGAAGCGAAAGCAUGGGUAGCGAACAGGAUUAGAUACCCUGGUAGUCCAUGCCGUAAACGUUGGGCACUAGGUGUGGGGGACAUUCCACGUUUUCCGUGCCGAAGCUAACGCAUUAAGUGCCCCGCCUGGGGAGUACGG